AUGUUGGCACUGAGAAACAGAGGUGUUAUAAUGAAUGUUGGAAGAGGGUCCUUAAUUGAUGAACAAGAGUUGGUGAAAUGUUUGAUGGAAGGACACAUUGGUGGUGCUGGUUUGGAUGUGUUUGAGAAUGAGCCUAAUGUUCCUCAACAACUUUUAGCUUUGGACAAUGUGGUUUUGUCACCUCAUAAUGCUGCUUUUACUAUUGAAAAUUCAUGGCUGCGACUCAUGUUGUUGAAGAGAAUCUAG